UUAGCUAGUUGGUGAGAUAACAGCCCACCAAGGCAACGAUGGGUAGCCGACCUGAGAGGGUGACCGGCCACACUGGAACUUAGACACGGUCCAGACUCCUACGGGAGGCAGCAGUGGGGAAUUUUGCGCAAUGGGGGAAACCCUGACGCAGCGACGCCGCGUGAGCGAAGAAGGCCUUCGGGUCGUAAAGCUAAGUCAUUGGGGAUGAAAAAGACAGUACCCAAGGAGGAAGCCCCGGCUAACUACGUGCCAGCAGCCGCGGUAAUACGUAGGGGGCGAGCGUUGUCCGGAAUUACUGGGUGUAAAGGGCGUGUAGGCGGGGAUGCAAGUUAUCGGUUAAAACCCAAGGCUCAACCUUGGGCUUGCCGGUAAAACUGUGUCUCUUGAGUAUAGGAGAGGGAAGUGGAAUUCCCGGAGUAGCGGUGAAAUGCGUAGAUACCGGGAGGAACACCAGUGGCGAAGGCGGCUUCCUGGCCUAUUACUGACGCUGAGGCGCGAAAGCUAGGGUAGCGAACGGGAUUAGAUACCCCGGUAGUCCUAGCCGUAAACGAUGGUUACUAGGUGUGGGUGGUGGUCAAGCCAUCCGUGCCGGAGCUAAC
rnacentral:rRNA from 1 species